GUACUAAGGUAGCAUAAUAAUACGCCUUAUAAUUAAAGGAUAGCAUGAACGAAGACAUGUAAUUAUUCUAAAUACAAUCUUAUACUUACUAACUUACAAUUAAAAUAAAAAUGUUUUACUCAAAAAGAAAGACGACAAGACCCUGCUGAAUUUUAAACUAAAAAGUUUGACUGGGGCGGUUAACCAAGAAAAACUUCCAAAAUCACUAUACUAAACCGACCACACAUUAGAAAUAAAUUACCACAGGGAUAACAGCAUAAUUAUAUUGAAAAGCACACAUAUAAAAUACAGAUUAUGACCUCGAUGUUGAAUUAAUUAACCUUAAAUAAGAAACUUUAUUAAAAGGAGGUCUGUUCGACCCUUUAAAAAUUACAUGAU
rnacentral:rRNA from 1 species